CAACAAUUCAUAUCUUCCCCACCCUCCACAACCACCACCUCCGAUCGCAUCCCACCGGCGACUCGAAUGACUGAAUUUAAAAGAAUUUGUUAGUGGACCGAGGCCGAGAUGAGCCCACUAUUGUCCGGCCCUCUACACCGGCCCCAUACUUGGACAAUGGCAGCGCUGUCUCCGAUGAUCUCUCGUUGCAGACCUAAUAUAUUCAUUGCUUCGAGAUACUCACUCGGGAGUUGCAAUGAAAUCGAGUUGGGUAAAAUUGGCGGUGAUUUUGCAUUUACUGAUUCUCUCGCAAUGCAUGCGGCAUCCGAAUGGUAUUUCUGUUUCGGAUCAAAGGAAGCCCUCUUUCUCUGGAAUAAAUGACAAUCAUCCGACAGCGCCGCCGGAAGCAAAGACAGGAGGCAAUCGUUGGUCUGCCGCACCGCUGGAGACAGUGUUUGAGCCAGAAUCAGAUCCACCACCUAAGCCACCUCCUCCCACUUGCUUACCUUUUUGUUGAUGAGUUUUGAAGAUGUAGGAGAGCAGCAGAUAUAGGGUUUGGAAGGAAAACAACACAAUAAAGAGGAAGAUACCCACACAAAUAAGAUAUAGGUUAAUUGUUUGGAUGCAACAGUUUUGUGAUGUUCUUUUAUUUAAGGUUAUAUCAAUUCAACACCUAGAACAGAAAUAAAGAUUUGUUUUCCAACGUUGCUAA